rnacentral:lncRNA from 1 species
UCAAGUGAAGUUAAUCUGAGGUGAAGCAAACAGAAAAUUGUGGAGGUUUUGUUGGAAUGAAUCUGAAGUCUGCUGCAGUAAAACACUGAAGGCUUUAAAAUGUUUUCUUGCGUAAAAGUCAAACUUUAAGUAGCUGCUUAUGAGGAUAGGGAAGGCAGGAAGCUAAUGUCUGUCUCAAGACACAGGACAGCUGUUUGCUCAUCAACCUCAACUGUGUGUGCAACAGAAGAACAUGGCGCAAGAAACUAAUCACAGCCAAGCACCUAUGCUUUGCUCCACUGGCUGCGGAUUUUAUGGAAACCCUCGUACAAAUGGCAUGUGCUCAGUAUGCUAUAAAGAACAUCUUCAAAGACAGAACAGUAGCAAUGGUAGAAUAAGCCCACCUGCAGCUUCUGUCAGCAGUCUGUCUGAAUCCUUACCAGUACAGUGCGCAGAUGGCAGUGUCCCAGACGCUCAGUCGGCGCUAGAUUCUACGUCUUCAUCUAUGCAGCCAGGCCCUGUAUCAAAUCAGUCACUUUUAUCAGAAUCUGUAGCACCUUCCCAAGUGGACAGUACAUCAGUGGACAAAGCAGUAUCCGAGACAGAAGACCUGCAAGGACCCAGAGCAGAGGGCCUUGUUCCUCUUGAAUGUGAUCCUCCAUCUUCAGUAUCAGAUACGACACAGCAGCCAUCUGAAGAGCAAAGCAAGUCUCUUGAAAAACCAAAACAAAAAAAGAAUCGCUGUUUCAUGUGCAGGAAGAAAGUGG